UACGGGGGGAGCAAGCGUUGUUCGGAUUUACUGGGCGUAAAGGGCGCGUAGGCGGCCACCGCAAGUCAAUUGUGAAAUCUCCGGGCUUAACUCGGAAAGGUCAACUGAUACUGCGGGGCUAGAGUGCGGAAGGGGCAACUGGAAUUCUCGGUGUAGCGGUGAAAUGCGUAGAUAUCGAGAGGAACACCUGCGGCGAAGGCGAGUUGCUGGGCCGACACUGACGCUGAUGCGCGAAAGCCAGGGGAGCGAACGGG
rnacentral:rRNA from 1 species